rnacentral:lncRNA from 1 species
UCCCAAGGAAAUUGGUGAUAACUUCUCUUAAACUCUAUUCACUUAUAUAACAGGCAAUGAGAUGCAGAGAGAAGCCCACUCUUUUACUUAAUAGACGCAAAUUCUGCUUCUCUUCAAGGCAAUUGGUUGGUAACUUCUAUUAAUUCUGUUCACAAUAUAUAUAACAUAUUUUGAGUGCAAAGGAAGAAAAAGAGUAGGUAAAGCUUUUGAAUACAUAUUAGUGUAUGACUUUAGAAAAUAAAAGGCAUGAUGUUUUAUUUGUCCUUUAUCCCUCAUUGGUUUGAGAGUACGUGGAUUACUCAUUAAGGAGUGACGCUUGGGAAUUGAAAAAGAUGAAUAAUCAAGAAAAUGACAAACUAGUGGACGGCUUCGUGAGGUGUAUUUUCUCCUUCUUUAUGUUAUUAUAUUGAAAAUGAUUAGACAAAAGAUAAAAGGAGAAAGUGAAACUAGGAUGGUGCAAGACCAAGAGCUGGACAUCAUUGAGAAUAUUACUUGUUUUCAUCUUACGUAAUAAUCUUACAUCACUCAAUAUGACAUUACCAAAUAGGAUAGCAACUGCUGGCUCUUUUCCUCUUUUUUUUCCCCUCUUCUUUUGUUUUCCCUUUUUUCCUUUUUGAUUAAAGAUAUAUUAAAGCUAAAAGAUCAUUCUGAUUAACUAAAGUGGGAAUCAAAUGUAGCAAUUUGUUGGGAUGGAUAGAAUUUUUGUGUCUUUUUAAUUAAAGAUUUCGAGUACUAGUCUUGAAAUAGAAAAUUCCUAGUAAAACGCGUUUUUUUGUUGUAACGGUCCUUAAGCAGCGCUAGCGCUAAUCCGAAUUAGUCGAUGCUUAAUGCCAAUCAAACAAAACAACAAUGACUAAUUGUUGAUCUUAGAUAAGAUUUUACAAAAUAAUAAAAGUACAGAACUAUUGGAAGCCUAAAAGUAGUGUUGAACACUUGAACUAGUGAAAUCUUGGAGAAAGAAGGUGAGUAAUGAAAUCUUAGAGAAAGAAGUGGGUAAUAAUAUCAAAGAGAAACACAAAAAAUAUAUAGGAUUUUCUGAAAUAUGAAGAGAUUGGAAAAAAGAAAGAUUGACUUGGACGAAUUAAGGAAAACAAAGAAAGUUUUUUACUGAAGAGUAAAAAAUGAAAAACUAAAAAUUAUGAAAACUAUUCAUCUACACAUUUUUAAGUAAGUCAAAUUAUUAUUUUAUUUAUAUAUCUAUAAACUUUUCUUUCCUUUAUAUUAAAAACUCUAAUUUUUUAUUAAAAAUACAAAAUAUUAUUUUUUAAAUGCCUAUGGACCUAUUGUGUUUUAAAAAUGGGGCCCCCUAAAUUUGGGAAGCACAAGCCUUACUCCACAUAAGGUUGGAGCUGGCCCUAGUUGUGAGAUGGAUAGUAUCUUUUUUAUUAGAGAUUUCGAAUUCAAGUCUUGAAAUAUAAAAAUCCUAGUAGGAUGCGCGUUUUUAACAAGCCUUAUGCAGUGUUAAUUCGGAAUAGUCGGUGGUCAAAUGCAAAUGCUAAUCCGGAUUAGUCGGUGCUCAAAUGUCAAUCAAACAUUAGAUAGAAAAUCAAACAAAACAACAAUGACUAGUUGCCACGAAGUUGUUGUGUGACUUCCUUCUCUAUCUCUUUCCAAUAGAAAUUUAUUAAGGAGGUUCGUUUGGUUUGCGGCUGCGUUGUACGUUAUUAGUGAUUGUGAUACAUUGAAUAGUAAUCAAAGGUCUAUUUGUAGAAUUAUUGGAUGUUUCCCAACUUGCAUUGAUAUAUGAUGUGUAUUUCAAUAUGUUCAUUUGAUUUAUGAAGAAUUGUUUUCAGUAGUACCCUUGGCAAAUUAUUACUUCAUUCUAUUUAAUAUUUGGUUUAUUAAAAAUGUAUCAAUAGUAAUUAAAAUAAUAUUAUCGACUAACGUUCUCAAAAAGAAUAACUUAAAAGAAGAAAUUAAAUUUAAAAUAAAGUAUCCUAAAUAUGGGUAAAUUAACAAAUAAGUAUUUCACUCUUUUAAACAUUAAAAACGUAUUUACACAUUUUUCUUUAUUGAAAAUCAACAUAAUAAACUUUAAGAAACAACUAGAGAUGCCAAGCAAGAUACGGUUACUUUAAGUAGCAACAGUAGUAGUAGUACAGAGGGUAUUUUGUCAAUUAUGUUUUCUUAUGCAUAUUUUUUUACUAAUACAUGCAUUAUAGUUUCUCACUUAAUUCGGCAGAAAAUGAUACAGAAUUACGCGCGUAAUAGUGUAACUGGCCGAGCGUGAAUCCAACUUGGAUAGAAAAAUUGAGAUAAAUUUCACUGGACUCCAUUCCGUUCUGGUUGGUACAAUUGAACAUAGACGGGGCUUUCAAAAAAGGGGACUAAAGUAGUGGUAUAGGAGGUGUCUUUAGAAAUCCAAACGAAGAUUGGAUUUUAGGAUUCACAGUGAAAACAACCUCAAGAACUCCAAUCCACACGGAACUCCAAGCCCUCUACCAAGGGCUACACAUUGCAGAGGAGAGAAAGUUAUAUCUCAUGGAAAUAGAGACGGAUGCUACACAGAUAAUCACUUAUAUCAACGAUAGAUGUGUAACUUACGACUCUAUUAUUAAAUCAUGCAGGUUGCUUCUAUCCGCAAUGGGCAUGGAGGUGAUUCAGCAUAAAUUCAGACAAGGCAAUGAAGUAGCUCAUUUCUUGGCAAAGCAUACAAAGACUUUUACCGCUUUCAAUAAAUUAGGACUUUUGUAUUUUCCUCCAUCCUAUGUCAUGGCCAGGAUGCUCGAGGAACAAGGGAAGAAAUGCUUAUGUUAAAACUUAAAAUUAUCUCUAUUACAAGUUGUAGUCUUCUAACAAAAUUUGGUAAUCAGUAUGCAAUGCAUGAAUUAUCAAUCACUAGUAUUGAUCCUCAGGAUCAUAUUUUUUGUCAUCCCUAAUCCUUAUUAAAUAAAAUGUCCAGUUUAUCAAAAAAAAAAGAGACUAUCAAUGUGUAAUUUUACCUCAGGAAUCAGAAUUAUUUCCACAAUAACCAAAUGACCACUAAGUAUAUUAAUGUAAGCAAACAAAUUAAAACAUUGUGAUUAAUUUAUUCAAAGUCUGGUAAGACUAGUGGGUAGUAAAGGCACUACCCACCAGUAAAUGCACAACUCACUAGUCUUACUUUCUUUAGUCCGGAAAGACAUAGAAAGCAAACGAAGGAUGAAUUCAAAGACUAGUGGGUAGCAAAGGUACUUCUAAAGCAAAUGAGUUACAAGAAACAAAUAUAAUCAGGAUAAAAAAGGUUAUGAGUUCGGAGUUCUAAUCUUUUUAAAUUACUAAGUUUUAAAUUAAUAAAUAAUACAUAUUCAAUAAAUUUCAUUAGACAAAUAUAAGGUUUGGACGAUCGAACCCGUAGUGAGUGGGCUAGCUCCGCCCCGGAGAGAGUGGUGGGGUACUAAAUUUCCAACUUCAUAUAAGCUGGUCCUAGGAGAUCUCCGAGUUAUCAAAAAAUGAACAAGGAAGAGAGUUCUAACCUUACUCUGGCUGAAGCUUAUGUAUGAUUGGCGUUGGAGCAAAGUAGAAUUGUGAGCUUUAGUUUUUGUUAUUUGAGAGAUGGAACAUAAAAAAGGCUAAGAAGAGACAAUCACCUC